rnacentral:snRNA from 1 species
AUAAUUCUUGGGGAAGGUCUACUUGUAUAUGUUCUUAUCAGUUUAAUAUCUGAUAUGUGGGCUAUGCCCCCAUCUCGAUAUUAAAUUAAUUUUUAUGUGGGGGAGGGCCUACGUACCCACGGUAGCUUGCUGCCGGGGCCCUCGCACGUCGCCCAUGUGUUGCACUAUUGCAUGGGCCUGGCGCACCCCUA